GUAAUUAGAUCUAAAAUCGGUCAAGAGAUGACGGAGCUAUGAGCUAAAAGUUUGUACUUGAAAAAAAAACAAAAAACUCAAAUCCGUUCUACGAGCAGCUAUGCCGCAGUGAAAAACAUCAUUGCCAAACCUGAUGAAGGAAAUAAAAUCGCGAUCUUCAGUAGAUUAGACAAACUAACAAAACUUUUGACAACGUAUGAGGUAAUCCUCAAUUCUCAAAACUUGACAAAAACGUGAAAAGACCAAACUAACAAAAUAUUUCUUCUAUGUGGGAUACUCAAAUUCCUUGAUGAAGAUCACAGUUCCAACUUUGGAUAUUGAAUUAUUAUUCACUGAUACUCCGUAAAUUAAUUGCAAGACAAACAAACAAUUAUAGACCACAUCGAUAUGUCUUGAACAAACUACGAGAGACAGGUAGUAAGAAAACACCUUUUCUAUUCAAUUGAGAAAUGAAUAUACGAGAAGAAAGACGGAGUCAACAUGGGUUCAAGUCAAGCGCCCGUACUAACAAACAUAAUUUAUCACAGGUACGUAGAGAUUCUGUGUCUGUGUUUUGAUACCCGUGGUAGGCAGAGCAGAGAUAGCCCAUUGUGUAGCUUUGUGCUUAAUUACACAACAAACCUAGAGUUAGAAGUUUGAAGUGACAACUUUUUAACCUAGUCUACAGCUUCUACUUUAUGUAACAUAAACAUUAAUUUGACAAUUUAUGUAUAUAUAUAUAUAUUUUUUACCUCUAAUCGCCCUAGUUACCAGCACUGUUGAAUCAAUUAGGCCUAACACCUUGUCAAGUUAAAUGAUUCCAAUAUUCUCUAGGAACAUUACUAACAUUUUAAUUGUUGUCUUCUGUUUUAACUUUAGUGAAUGCCGAGAAUUAAAAUUCUAACAAUGUUUGAUGAAAGUGUUUAAAGGGAUGAAAAUGAUAAAAUGUAGUUCUUUAAUCUCAGUUCAGAAAACCUGAUAAAUUAUUAUUUUACUGUUCUUUUCAUACGUAUAUAUUUUGUUUUCUCGUAUAUAUAUAUAUGUUCGCCAUUAAUAGAACAUACCUUACGAUGACAUUUAAAGUCGAUACCGUUUUAUAAUAAUUACAGUCAUAAUAGCGUUAUUGAGUUUUUGUGUUCUUUCAGAAAUUGAAGCGGUUAAGAAUGCUCGUGAAAAAUGCGAGAAAAAUCUAACGCAGUCUUACAUAGAUGCAUGGUUAGAAUGUAAAGAGGAAACUUCCCUUGGUGGGUAUGAUGAUGACGUUGUUAUUCAAAAGAUGUGUGAAAAAUUAGCGCCUGGAAUAAAACAUCCUAUGUUGGAUUGUUUGGAUGAAAAAGGAAAGCAGUCUGAGAAAAACGAGGAAGACAAGAAGGCGCAGAAGUUGAUUGAGAAGUGUUAUAUUGAAGCCCUUGCAUUGUUGUUGCGGAUGGAAGGAGGCGCUCAUGGGAACCAACAGAUGUAGUCAAUUCUGUAUUCGUUUUAUUAUUGUUCAUUUUAUUUACGGACAAAGAUUCGAAUGAAAU